AGAGUUUGAUUCUGGCUCAGAACGAACGCUGGCGGCGUGGAUAAGACAUGCAAGUCGAACGAGAGAAUUGCUAGCUUGCUAAUAAUUCUCUAGUGGCGCACGGGUGAGUAACACGUGAGUAACCUGCCCCCGAGAGCGGGAUAGCCCUGGGAAACUGGGAUUAAUACCGCAUAGUAUCGAAAGAUUAAAGCAGCAAUGCGCUUGGGGAUGGGCUCGCGGCCUAUUAGUUAGUUGGUGAGGUAACGGCUCACCAAGGCGAUGACGGGUAGCCGGUCUGAGAGGAUGUCCGGCCACACUGGAACUGAGACACGGUCCAGACACCUACGGGUGGCAGCAGUCGAGAAUCAUUCACAAUGGGGGAAACCCUGAUGGUGUGACGCCGCGUGGGGGAAUGAAGGUCUUCGGAUUGUAAACCCCUGUCAUGUGGGAGCAAAUUAAAAAGAUAGUACCACAAGAGGAAGAGACGGCUAACUCUGUGCCAGCAGCCGCGGUAAUACAGAGGUCUCAAGCGUUGUUCGGAAUCACUGGGCGUAAAGCGUGCGUAGGCUGUUUCGUAAGUCGUGUGUGAAAGGCGCGGGCUCAACCCGCGGACGGCACAUGAUACUGCGAGACUAGAGUAAUGGAGGGGGAACCGGAAUUCUCGGUGUAGCAGUGAAAUGCGUAGAUAUCGAGAGGAACACUCGUGGCGAAGGCGGGUUCCUGGACAUUAACUGACGCUGAGGCACGAAGGCCAGGGGAGCGAAAGGGAUUAGAUACCCCUGUAGUCCUGGCAGUAAACGGUGCACGCUUGGUGUGCGGGGAAUCGACCCCCUGCGUGCCGGAGCUAACGCGUUAAGCGUGCCGCCUGGGGAGUACGGUCGCAAGAUUAAAACUCAAAGAAAUUGACGGGGACCCGCACAAGCGGUGGAGUAUGUGGCUUAAUUCGAUGCAACGCGAAGAACCUUACCUGGGCUUGACAUGUAAUGAACAACAUGUGAAAGCAUGCGACUCUUCGGAGGCGUUACACAGGUGCUGCAUGGCCGUCGUCAGCUCGUGUCGUGAGAUGUUUGGUUAAGUCCAGCAACGAGCGCAACCCCUGUUGCCAGUUACCAGCACGUGAAGGUGGGGACUCUGGCGAGACUGCCCAGAUCAACUGGGAGGAAGGUGGGGACGACGUCAGGUCAGUAUGGCCCUUAUGCCCAGGGCUGCACACGUACUACAAUGCCCAGUACAGAGGGGGCCGAAGCCGCGAGGCGGAGGAAAUCCUGAAAACUGGGCCCAGUUCGGACUGUAGGCCGCAACCCGCCUACACGAAGCCGGAAUCGCUAGUAAUGGCGCAUCAGCUACGGCGCCGUGAAUACGUUCCCGGGUCUUGCACUCACCGCCCGUCA
rnacentral:rRNA from 1 species